AAAACAUUUUACCCCCUCAGUAUGGGCGACAGAAAAGGAACCAGGAGCCAUAGAACUAGUACCGCAAGGGAACGCUGAAAGAGAAAUGAAACAAACCAGUAAAGUACAGAGAAGCAGAGAUUAGGACUCGUACCUUUUGCAUCAUCGAUUAGCCAGUACAAGCAGGCAAGGAGAACCAUAGCCUGUCACCCCGAAACGGGGUGAGCUACUCCAGGACAGCCUAUACUAGGGCGAACCCGUCUCUGUGGCAAAAGAGUGGGAAGAUCUUUGAGUAGAAGUGAUAAACUUACCGAACCCCGUUAUAGCUGGUUGCCUGGGAAAUGGAUAUAAGUUCAACCCCACCUCUUCUUUUCUCAUGAACAGUAAUGAACCUAUGACAACAAGAAGGCGAGGGAGUUAGUCGAAGGGGGUACAGCCCCUUUGAAAAAAGAAACAACUUUUUAAGGAGGAUAAAGAUUAUAGCAAUUAAAGGAAUAGUAGCUCAGUGGGCCUAAAAGCAGCCACCUGUAUGGAGGGCGUCAAAGCUCAAGCACGAAAUUACCCGCAUAUCCCAACAAAACCUUCCGAAUCCCCAACUCCUUACCAGGCCUUUCUACCCGACCGUAGAAGAGAACAUGCUAGUAUGAGUAACAAGAAAACCUUAGGAGUUUCUCCCCGCACACGCGUAACCCAGCACGGACAACCCACCGAAAAUUAACGGACCCAAAACAAGAGGGUAGUGAUACACAAUAUGACAACCGGAAAAAUACUCAACUCCGCCCGUUAACCCUACACAGGUGUGCACAAAGGAAAGACUAAAAGAGAGAGAAGGAACUCGGCAAACAACCCUGAGCCUCGCCUGUUUACCAAAAACAUCGCCUCUUGCAAACACUUAGAAUAAGAGGUCCAACCUGCCCAGUGACACCCUGUUCAACGGCCGCGGUAUUUUGACCGUGCUAAGGUAGCGCAAUCACUUGUCUCUUAAAUGGGGACCUGUAUGAAAGGUAUAACGAGGGCUCAACUGUCUCCUCCCUCCAGUCAGUGAAAUUGAUUUCCCCGUGCAGAAGCGGGGAUUUUAACAUAAGACGAGAAGACCCUGUGGAGCUUAAGACCCCGGGCAGCUCAUGUAAAGGACCCCCACUAAAGGCCACAACCAAAUGAGACCUGCUCCUGUGUCUUCGGUUGGGGUGACCAUGGGGCAAACCUAACCCCCAUGUGGACAGGGAGCACUAGAGGACCUUCUACCACAAGACCCACAACCUUACUCCUCCAAACCAGAGCUCCGGCUCUAGUUAACGAAAUGUUCGACUUAGAAUGAUCCGGGAAGACCGAUCAACGAACCAAGUUACCCCAGGGAUAACAGCGCUAU
rnacentral:rRNA from 1 species